rnacentral:misc_RNA from 1 species
AUCACUUCUAUUUGGAAGGAAAGAAAGCGGGAUGGAAAGAAAGUCGCAAUACAAGCAUAGAGCCAAAAAUGUGGCGAAAAUAAGGCAGCGACAUAAAGAAGAAGAAUUGGCCAUUCGAAAAGAUAGAAAAGAAAAACUCCUCAGUUCCAAGCGAUUUCGCUUUAUUGAUGGUGAGGAGCUUUCUGAUGAAAUAUCCCAUGAUGAAGUUCUGAGUGCAGCAAGAAGUCUUCAGAAACCAGGACCACAUAGACAAGAGAACUUAAGGACCCUUCGACAGGCAUUCUCUCAAGGAACAGCUUACAUUGACACUUUCUUCAAGGUUGACAACGCCUUGAACCUGCUGGUUGGCAUUUACACUGGGAAUGACUCGGCCCAACAACUUGAGGCUGCAUGGUGCAUAACAAACAUCUCGGCAGAUUGUUACCCCAUUGCUUCGUUGUCUUGGAAACAUCUGCAGUGGACCAGACAAAUACACACUAGAAGCAAAACAGAAUGCCGAGUUACUACCCAGUCUUUGUAAAUUUUUGAGCUCUGACCUACGACAUGCUCGCAAAGAAACACUGUGGGUUCUCUCAAACAUGACAGGGGAUAUCGAUGUAUGCAAGGAAGUAACUUUUGGUCCUAUUCUAUCCCAUGUUCUGGAGCAGGUGCCUGCUGCAUUUGACAUCAAGUCAGAGGCACUUUACCUUCUAUGCAAUCUGGCCUGUCAUGGCGAGGACAUCUGUACUCAUCUGGUAGAAUCCAAGAUGUUGCAGGUUGUGGUCCCCGUGCUGAAGACUCAUGACGUCGAAGUCUUAAAUCUAGCUCUGGCACUGUGUGAAAUGGCCAUCAGAAUGACCCCAAAUGGAAAAAACAUAUUUGAGAAAGAGUGUGAGGGAAUGGCUAAGCUUGAGGCGUUGGAGUAUCAUAGUAAUGAGGCCAUUAGAACAGCAGCCAACCAUAUCCUGGAUAUGUACUAUGGGGACAAGGAAGAAGAGGUGAAAAUGACAUAAACAUUGAAGAAUUAUGAGAGAUUUUAAAAGAUGUUUAUUACAAGUGUGGAGUUUCUGUACUGUCCAGAACCUGUCACUUAAAGUGCAGACAGAGGGCAAUAUGUAAAGAUAGGGCAUGACCCCAUCAUAUUGAAGAAAUGUAGACUUGUGUGCCAUAUAUAUGUAGAUGGAUACAUUUAUUCUAUAUAUGUACAUUUGUAUUUUGUAAGUAUUACAGUUUCAUGAAAUGAAUUGUAAUGUUUGAAACGAUGCAAGCUAAAUUGAUCUGUUGCAGGAAUAUUAAUGAAAUGAAGAUACAUUAUACAUACAUUGGUAUUAAUUGUUUCAAGUGUUUUAGUGAUUUUUAUCAAUUAAUGUAUUUUAAGUGUUGUUAUGAAUGUCAGAAAUCCUGCACUUUAAAGGGUCAAUAAAGAUAUUUCCU